CUAGAUAUUGAAAGCUAAUAAAGUUGUGAAGUGCAUAAAGAAGGCUUGAAAAUUUUAAUGAAGCCUUAUUACUUCGGAAGAAAUUCUUUCUUUAGGAAAUUAUAAAAUUGGGUGAAGUAAAACAUUAUAGUAACUCAAAAAGAAAUCAACCGAGACUUCGUUAGUAGUGGCGAGCGAAUGCGAAUUUAGAUAAAAUGAUUAAUAAAAAGUUGAAUCAUCCUAAGAGGGUUUUAGUCCCGUAGACUUAUUUAUUAUGAUUUAUAUGUUAUAACGAAUUAUGUUAAAUUUGUUAUAGUGGGGAUCUUCCCUCAUAUCUAAAAGCUUUAAUAACCGAUAGUGAAUGAGUACCGUAAGGGAAAGGUGAAAUAGAACUUUUUUAGAGUUAAAAGAACCUAAAAUUUAAUGCAUAUGAUCUGUUGGAGCUUUUUAAUUAACGUUAAAAAAGUGACAGCGUACCUUUUGCAUAAUGGGCCAAUAAGUUUAUAUAUAUGGUAAGUUUAAGUUUAAAAACAAGACGUAGCGAAAGCAAAUUUUAAAAAGUGCUAGAAUCAUCUAUAUAAGACCCGAAGCUGAGUGAUCUAACCAUGAACAGGUUGAAGAUAUUACGGAAACGUAAUUCGGAGGACCGAACUCGUGUCUGUUGAAAAAGAUUGGGAUGAUUUGUGGUUAGGAGCGAAAGACUAAUCAAACUCAGGUAUAGCCGGUUUUCUGCGAAAUAUAUUUAAGUAUAGCCUAUAAAUAAUUUCUUAUGGGGUAGAGCACUUUUAAAGGAAUGGGGACUUUUGUCUUACUGAACUUUGAAAAACUACGAAUACGUAAGAAAGUUUUAUGGAGUCAGACUAUGGGCGCUAAGGUCUAUAGUCAAGAGGGAAACAGCCCAGACUAAUUGAUAAGGUCCUCAAUUGUAUGUUAAGUGAAAAGUAUGUAAAAAAAUUAUGACAAUUAUAAAGUGGGCUUGGAAGCAGCCAUCUUUUUGAGAAAGCGUAACAGCUCAUUAAUCUAGUUUUUUUGCUUCGAAAAUGUAAAGAGACUUAAACUUUUAACCGAAUCAGUAGAUAAUAUAUAUUAUGGUAGCAGAACGUUUGAUAUGUCUAUGAAGGUAUUUUGUUAAAAAUACUGCAGAUAUUCAAAGUGAGCAUAUUGGCAUUAGUAGCUAAAACAACGUUUAAUCGUUGUCGCCGUAAAUCUAAGGUUUUCGAUACAACACUUAAUGAUAUCGAUAUUUAAGACGGACCCUAAGGCAAAUUACAAACGUAUAAGCUGAUGGGAAAUUCUUUUUGUGACGGAAUGAAACAGUUAUUAAGUUUUACUGAAUAAGGACUUAGUUUUUUAUCGUUUCCAGGAAAUAGCAAUUAGAAAUAUAUACCGUACCCUAAACCGACACAGGUAGAUGUGUAGAAUAUACAAAGGCGUUCAAGAUAAGUGUGCUGAAGGAACUCGGCAAAUUUGCUCUGUAACUUCGGGAGAAGGAGUGACAUUAUUGGGAAACCAGUAAUUGUUGACACUAAAGAGGAAGAAACGACUGUUUAACAAAAACACAGGUCUCUGCGAAUUCGAGAGAAGAUGUAUAGAGACUGACACCUGCCCGGUGCUGUAAGAUGACGUGGAGAUGUAAAAACAUUGAAAUUAAGUUCCAGUAAACGGCGGCUGUAACUCUGACGGUCCAAAGGUAGCGAAAUUCCUUGUCGGGUAAGUUCCGACCUGCAUGAAUGGUGUAACGAUUUCUUCACUGUCUCCAGCACACGCUUGGUGAAUUUGAAAUGUCCGUGAAGAUGCGGACUUUUUGUGGUUAGACGGAAAGACCCCGUGCACCUUUACUAUGAUUUUAAGUUGCAGAACUGUAUAACUUGUGUAGAAUAGAUGGGAGCGUAAGCAAAAAUGAAAUACCAUCCUUGAUAUACUGUUUUGCUCAAUUCUUUUUAGAAGACAGCUUAUGAAAGGUAGUUUGACUGGGGCGGUCACCUCCUAAAAAGUAACGGAGGUGUACAAAGGUUUCCUCAAAUCGGCCAGAAAUCGAUUGAAGAGUGUAAAAGCAUAAGGAAGCUUAACUGUGAGACAAACAAGUCAAACAGAGACGAAAGUCGGUUUUAGUGAUCUGACGCUGCUGUGUGGAAAGGGCGUCACUCAACGGAUAAAAGUUACUCUAGGGAUAACAGGCUGAUCUCCCCCAAGAGUCCAUAUCGACGGGGAGGUUUGGCACCUCGAUGUCGGCUCAUCGCAUCCUGGGGCGGAAGUACGUCCCAAGGGUUGGGCUGUUCGCCCAUUAAAGCGGUACGUGAGCUGGGUUCAGAACGUCGUGAGACAGUUCGGUCCAUAUCCGGCGUAGGCGUUAGAAUAUUGAGAGUGAAUUUUCUCUAGUACGAGAGGACCGAGAAAGACAUGCCUCUGGUGUACCAGUUAUUGCGCCAGCAGUAAACGCUGGGUAGCUAUGCAUGGUUUAGAUAAUCGCUGAAAGCAUCUAAGUGAGAAGCUGUCCUCAAGAUUAAUAUUCUUAAGUCACGGCAAGACUAGCCGGUUAAUAGGGUUUAUGGUGUAAGUAUAGUAAUAUAAUAAGCCAAAAAUUACUAACGACUUUAGUUUAAGUAG
rnacentral:rRNA from 1 species